rnacentral:rRNA from 1 species
GGUGAGUAAUGUCUGGGAAACUGCCUGAUGGAGGGGGAUAACUACUGGAAACGGUAGCUAAUACCGCAUAACGUCGCAAGACCAAAGAGGGGGACCCUCGGGCCUCUUGCCAUCGGAUGUGCCCAGAUGGGAUUAGCUUGUUGGUGGGGUAACGGCUCACCAAGGCGACGAUCCCUAGCUGGUCUGAGAGGAUGACCAGCCACACUGGAACUGAGACACGGUCCAGACUCCUACGGGAGGCAGCAGUGGGGAAUAUUG